rnacentral:sRNA from 1 species
ACCUGCGGAAGGAUCAUUAUUGUUCUUUGGGGUUGCCUGCGCUUUAUUGCGCGGCCCCCUACCUUUACACACAUGUUUUUUGUUUUACAAAAUUGCUUUGGUCGAAAGGCCAAAGAUUAAACACAGAUUAAUAUCUUUUUUAUAUAAAUUGUCAAGAAGUAUUUUAUAAAUCUUCAAAACUUUCAACAACGGAUCUCUUGGUUCUCGCAACGAUGAAGAACGCAGCGAAAUGCGAUACGUAAUGUGAAUUGCAGGUUUUCGUGAAUCAUCGAAUCUUUGAACGCAUAUUGCGCCCUCUGGUAUUCCGGAGGGCAUGCCUGUUUGAGCGUCAUUUCUCUCUCAAAUCUUUUAGAUUUGGUAUUGAGUGGUACUCUUAUGGAGUUAACUUGAAAUAAAUUGGCAAAAGCUGUUUUCUAGUUUUUGAUUAACUUACGUUUCUAGGUUCUACCAUUUACGUGAAGAAAUUGAAAACAAAAAAACUAUAGCGCCGGCCUAACAAUUUUACAUAAGUUUGACCUCAAAUCAGGUAGGAUUACCCGCUGAACUUAAGCAUAUCA